GGUGGCGGGAGGUGGAGGGGAGCGGGGAUUUUCCUUGGGAAAGGGAAACUUCGGCGCUCCGGCGGGUUUUGGCGAGGCGCUCACGCAGCCGCUCGGGGCGCCCCGGCCGUGCCUCCGGAGGAGCGCGCCCAGCAGCGGGAAUGCCGCCUUCGCCCUAGGAAAUCACGGGGGCGCGUUUGACACCGGCGCUAGGAAUAGUGCUUGUUAGCCAAGACUCUCCCUCCCUCUCUCCAGGCAGAGCCCGUGGGCUGGCAGCUCAGUUCGUCUGACCCAGCGGUGGCAUCACCACGUCUUCCAUUGAAAGCCAAGGGCUUGCUGGGAGAGCAAGGGGAAUUCCCACCUGUUAAAGGCAAAGGUGGAUGCCAGGCAGGACGAGUAUAGCCUCAGGGCUGCACAGGUGAAGCUGCAUGAGCUGAGCCCAGCAAGCUGAGUGUGAGUUUUGGUGCAAGGAGGAUGGGUUAUACAGGGCAAGGUCACAAGAUGUCUCUAACAUGGCUACUGAAGACAGGAUUUCUGCUGGAACAAGGGCAAUUGGUUAUUGCUAACCAAACUAAAAAAAAAAAUAAAAAAUUAAAUUAAAAUGUAAAAAUUUCUCAGUAAUAUUGUAAAAAAUGUAAAUAUUGUAAUGUUCCUAUUACAAUAUUUUCAGACAUUGUAGUGUCUGUGUGUGUUUAACCAAACAGCUUAAAUCCCAGGAAUACCCAGCAGAUGGCAGUUUGAUCAAAUGUGUGUUUAUUCGAUUUACAUAGGACUCUAAAAAGCUUUAAAUAUUUAACCAAAUUCAAGAAAACUCUUCAUCAAAUCACAUGCUUACAGUAUUUUCAGUACAUUGAAAUGUAUUAAACUAGCAGUCUAGCUUUCUAUGGUGUUUGUUUAUGUAAAAUCUGAUGUUUUGAGUCUUGACUUAAAACCUAUAAAAUUAGGAUGAAACUUUACCGGUUCUUACAGUAAACGGGGAGCCAAAAAUAAUUUUAAAAAGCAUUGAAACAAUAAGCAGCAAUUUUAUGGUGUGUUGUACUUGGUAUUUGUGAACCACUUAUUUUUGUACAAAAGCCUGUCUGUAUUUGGGAUAGCUGGGAAGUGAUGUGUGAGGGGCUCAUUUUUGUGUAUACAGAAAUAACUGCAUGUUUGCAUACAACAAGUACAAAUGAUGGUAUUAAAGCAGUAAGUUGGCCCAUGUCUAUACCUCGAGUGUACUGUGAAGAGAAAUUUUUAUACCAUUCUAUUAUAGUUGAACACAGCUCUGUAAUAUGCACACUUAACCUUUAAAAUACAAAAAAAAUCAACUGCAACAUAUAGUUAAAUACUGCAGCAGAAUUCUGCAUGUAUGGGUUAUUAUGACUCUGCUGUUUGUUAUUAUUGCUACUUAAUGUUUUUCUAUCCAUCAUUUCCCACUUAUUCAAGAACGAACUAGAAAUAACCCUUGCUCUUGUGCCUCUUGUCAGGGUACAUGUGAAUGUCUGUGUAUGUAAACCUCACGUGAUAGUUCUUACUGGUCGCCUUGUCGACAGUUCUACUGUACUAAUUGUCAUCAUGUGGUAGUUACUGAGGACACGUACAAGAAAAUUAUGAAGAAACUUAAUGAGACAGGGAAGCUGUGUAACCUCACUAAAAUGUAAUCCAUAGUAAUUAUUGCAAAAGGCAAUAAUUGCAAGAGGCAGGGUAAUCACUAGGCAAAGACUAUGAAAAUAAUGGGGUUUUUUUCCCCUGAAAGUUUCCUUAGUUAAUGACAGUUUUGGGACAAAUCCAAGUAGUUGAUUCCUAAAUCACAGGAUUCCUAAAUAAGUGAAUUUUAUUUUGGCCAAAAUAUUUCCUAAUUUUUGGCAAUGUUUCUUUUCACAUAGGAGGAUUUCAAAUUCUGAAAGUUUCUUGUUCCUCUGUAAAUGUCUAUGAAGCUGAAUUUCCAAAGGCCUUUAGAAUGUGAUUUUAGUCUAUUUUCUUGGCCAAGAUAUCAAGUAUUGACUUUAAUUACAUUUCAGACUAGAAAAUUGCUCCUGAAUACAAAUUCAAUGCAAAAAUAACACAAUCUCUGAGCAGAGCCCUUCUCUUUACCUAUUCAGUAAUAACAAAUGAACUUAUCUGUACACAGGCAGGACACAUACCUGAUUUGUUGCUUUGGAUUCAUACUAAUUUUAACUGACCUUAUUAUGGCAAAUCCCUUCAUAUCUGUUACUUGGGUUCUAUAUUUGUUUUCAUUAAACCCUUUAUUUAAAUAUUUUACUUACUUAAAUAUUUAUUUAAAAUGCUGUAGUAACAUAAAUUGUAGAAUCACGGGCACCCCUGAAACAGAAACAGAUUGGACCUCUUCAUCUUGAGAGGAAAUAGAACACUCAGUAAUGGCAGUGGUAUUCACCCAGAUUAGAAAUGUUCAAUUAGUGGUUCAACAGACAAAUUAUCACCAAAGAGAAUGUAGGAGAGAUGGAUUGGAUGGGAUUUUUAUGCUGUUUUUGUUAACAUCCCCUAUAUGAUUACUGCCUAGGUCAGAAGUUACUCUGCAUUUUUGCUGUUUUUUUCUAGACCUGACCCAGCCACAGUUCCCAGAUCUCAGUUAUGUGAUUGACUUUCUGUUUGAUGAUAGGCCACUAGAAUAAAAUUAACUUAAAGAAAACAUGAUUUUUUAUUACCUAAUUUUAAAAGUUCUUGGUUCUGCAAAGAAGAUUCAAAGGGAGUAUCUCCUAUCAUAGAAGCCCUUGGAAGUGCUACUGUUUAGAUGGGAAUUCUCCAGUUUGUGUGAAGACAGUAAAAAUCUUCUUAAAGUGAAAAGGAAUAUCUUACUCAUGUUAACAGAAUCCUGGACUGAAUCAAUAUUAUCUGAUCUGUUACAGAUUGGUUCUUUCCUUUGGCACAAGAGGUGUUAAUACCUGUUAUGCAAGUCCUAGGCUCUUGCACAGCCUGUGCUUAGUGUUUUCUGUUAGUCCUGCUCAGUUUUAGGGCAUGGAAAGGAAGAGUUUCAUCACUGGAAUACACAUAGUAAAGUAAUAUGAUCAGACUCAAGCUUGACACACUGAGUAAUCUGUGAUAUGCUAACAUUUCGGUAUCAUGUUAGUAUUGCAUUAGACUAAUAUGACACUAAUAUAAAAUGACAGGAAAAAUGACUAAUACAGUAAGACUUUCAUAUAUUACUUUAGGGCUGCCAUAUCUGUCCUUUUUAAUUCACCUGAAACACUGUUUAAAUGCAGAAUGAGAGCUGCAUCUAGAGCAUAGCUGGGGAAAAAACCCAUUUUAGGAAAAAGGCCAUUUCAAAUAUUGUGUAACAACUAAGAUGGAAAUAAUCUUACAGCACUUGUGCUUUACUUACUGGGAAUUACAUCAAUUUUUCCAAAAGGAUGCAAUGUGGUUGUGAACUGUAAUAACUUAUUUGAACAGCUGGUGUCUGCAGUGUUGAUUGAAGAGAAUUUUGUCUAUUUUAAACUGAUGACAAAAUAUGAUUUCAAUAGAAGGGACCAGAAUGCUGUCCAGUGUCUGGAAAAUCAUCAUGAAGGAUAGGUUCUAGCAGUGAAGGUGCUUCUGCAGACUUUCUUGAAUAAUCUUUCCAGCUUCCUAAAUUCCAAAAUAAAAAGGAUGAAGAAAAGUAGCUGUACUUUGAUGUGUGCCCAUUUUCUGAUUGUAGAUAGUGCAUGCAAUUUUUAUCAUGAGCAAGGUAACCCUUUUCCCAGCUGGUCAUGCUCACUCUUAACUGUCCUGCAGAACUGCAGCUGUCUGGUUUCACAUUUACAAUGGGUUGCCUCAAGCAGCUCAUGCACAUUACUGACUUCACUGCUCUUCCUGUGUUCUUACUGCUAGAAUGGAAGGGGAACACUAAUUCCGAAGCUUAAGUUCUUGGCUAGGCCCUUAAGUCAUGUUCAGCUCGUUGUGUAUGUGGGUGUAUGUCUGUGUAACUAAAUAAUGAGCUGAAGUGGAAUUAAACAAUUUUUAGAUGGGAGGUGUCAAGUCUAAAGAUCUGUAGGGAUUUCAGAUAUGGUCCUGGGGCAGCGCAAGAACCUCAGUGGAGGUCAGAAAAAGAGACCCACAUGUUUUAAAUUGAAAUACUAUUUGUUCUUCCUUUUGGCUGUUUGUGGUAAGCAGAAAUGUGAAAGAUAAGUUUCCUGAAAGAUGAUGAGCUUUAUUAAUGAACUCAAUCCCCUUACUGCUUGCUGAGGGCCAAACAUAUAAUGCUAAGAGAUGUCCCUGACCAUCUUUCCAAAUGAAACCAGCCCUGAAAGAAAUGCAGAGUGUUUUUCAUUGUGUAAGGAAAAAUAUUGGAAAGUAUCUAGCUAAUAUUCCCUUCUAGAUGGCAUUACUGAAAACAAUAGGAAUGCUGGUGUCUGGUUUUGAUGUUAAAACUUUAAAAAGGAUGUUGGUGAAUUGGACAUUCAGAUGUGCUAUGAGUACCUGGGAAACAUGGCUUUUAAAUAAAUUUGUCUUGUUUCUUUCUAAUACAAAACAAACUCCAAUAUUAUUUUAUCAAGAAUUCAAGAUUCCACUCAACAAUUUACUUUAUGCUUUUUCCAAAUUCCUCUUGUGCUCUGUGUGUUUGUCUAAAUAAUUACUGUGCUCAGCUACAGAGCAUAAAGUAGACAACAGGUGUUCAGAUACAUAUGUAAAAAAGGAAAUCUGAAUAUGUUUAUGUUCUUUUCCUUAAAAUAAAGAUUGUGAGUUGAUGUUGUC